AACGAACGCUGGCGGCAUGCCUAACACAUGCAAGUCGAACGAGAUCUUCGGGUCUAGUGGCGCACGGGUGCGUAACGCGUGGGAAUCUGCCCUUUGGUUCGGAAUAACAGUUGGAAACGACUGCUGAUACCGGAUGAUGACGAAAGUCCAAAGAUUUAUCGCCAGAGGAUGAGCCCGCGUAGGAUUAGCUAGUUGGUGUGGUAAAGGCGCACCAAGGCGACGAUCCUUAGCUGGUCUGAGAGGAUGAUCAGCCACACUGGGACUGAGACCCGGCCCAGACUCCUACGGGAGGCAGCAGUGGGGAAUAUUGGACAAUGGGCGAAAGCCUGAUCCAGCAAUGCCGCGUGAGUGAUGAAGGCCUUAGGGUUGUAAAGCUCUUUUACCCGGGAUGAUAAUGACAGUACCGGGAGAAUAAGCUCCGGCUAACUCCGUGCCAGCAGCCGCCGUAA
rnacentral:rRNA from 1 species